UACGUAGGGUGCAAGCGUUAAUCGGAAUUACUGGGCGUAAAGCGUGCGCAGGCGGUGAUGUAAGACAGGUGUGAAUCCCCGGGCUUAACCUGGGAACUGCAUUUGUGACUGCAUCGCUGGAGUGCGGCAGAGGGGGAUGGAAUUCCGCGUGUAGCAGUGAAAUGCGUAGAUAUGCGGAGGAACACCGAUGGCGAAGGCAAUCCCCGUGGGCCUGCACUGACGCUCAUGCACGAAAGCGUGGGGAGCAAACAGG
rnacentral:rRNA from 1 species